rnacentral:lncRNA from 1 species
AGUCCAACUCCUUUAUUUUACAGAAAAAUAGGGUAGAGGAAAUCAGGCCACAUGAAGUAGUAUGCUUCAGAGGAAUGACAUGAAACCAGAUACUGGCUGGAUUACGGACCACCUCUGCUAGCCCUGAGCAAGCCUCAAAAAAAAAAUUACCAUAAGGUUGACUUCCUGUUAAUGAAUUUGGGGUGUACAGGGCUAUAGGUCUUCUCUCCAUAAAGAUGAAUCUGUUCACUCAAUUCUCUCAACCUGUACAUAGAACCUGGGUUCAUCAAGUUUUACCAGUUGACUAUCCAGAACAAAAAGAUAGCUUCAACCUACAAUAAUCUGAGCCAGCCAAUUUGUUCCUGAUUAAUGAGUCCCAUUGUCCAUUAAGUACGAAGAGGCUUGUCCUUGCUUCUAUAAUAACAUGCAAAAUGCCAAAGGCUCCCAGAACUGUAAGUUCCCAUGUCAACCCGGUAACAAU